rnacentral:rRNA from 1 species
UACGGAGGGUGCAAGCGUUAUCCGGAUUCACUGGGUUUAAAGGGUGCGUAGGUGGGCAGGUAAGUCAGUGGUGAAAUCUCCGGGCUUAACUCGGAAACUGCCAUUGAUACUAUCUGUCUUGAAUACCGUGGAGGUCAGCGGAAUAUGUCAUGUAGCGGUGAAAUGCUUAGAUAUGACAUAGAACACCAAUUGCGAAGGCAGCUGGCUACACGAAUAUUAACACUGAUGCACGAAAGCGUGGGGAUCAAACAGG